rnacentral:rRNA from 1 species
GACGAACGCUGGCGGCGUGCUUAACACAUGCAAGUCGAACGGUGAACUCCGCUUGCGGGGGGAUCAGUGGCGAACGGGUGAGUAACACGUGGGCAACCUGCCCUCAGCUCUGGGAUAACUCCAAGAAAUUGGGGCUAAUACCGGAUAUGACCGCUGACCGCAUGGUCUGGUGGUGGAAAGAUUUAUCGGCUGGGGAUGGGCCCGCGGCCUAUCAGCUUGUUGGUGGGGUAGUGGCCUACCAAGGCGACGACGGGUAGCCGGCCUGAGAGGGUGACCGGCCACACUGGGACUGAGGGACGGCCCAGACUGCUACGGGAGGCAGCAGUGGGGAAUAUUGCGGAAUGGGCGAAAGCCUGACGCAGCGGCGCCGGGUGGGGGAUGACGGCCUUCGGGUUGUAAACCUCUUUCAGCAGGGACGAAGCGAAAGUGACGGUACCUGCAGAAGAAGCACCGGCCAACUACGUG